GUUAUACAAUUUUUUCGUCUACGAUAAUAUUAAUUUAAAAAUACAUAUUAUUUUUCAUCGAAAAAGACCGUUGUUAGAAAUACAGUUUGUAGACAACCAAAUGGUCCCGAUCCGAAAGUAUGAAAUUCAAUUAAUUGUUAAUUGGAUACAAAAUGAAAACCAAUAUUGAAUAACUGGGUUUGUUCACUACAAUAUUGUAUACAAAUUUUAAGAAUACAAAUAAUUAUCAUCAUUCGUGUGUACAAAAACCAAGGGAAUCGGACGUUUGUAUUAAAAAUGAACAAGAAUCGUAUGGCAUGUUACUCGAACACAACGUUAUUGUAGACAAUUCACAAUAUCGUACAUUCAAUUAAUACAAUACGGAUUGGUCGGACGGGUCAUUUUUUUCUCAAUUUAUUAAUAAUUUACUUGCCUACUGCUUAUGCACGUUUAUAUUAUAGAAGUAAUUGUAAUACGAUUCGUGAUUAAGACCAGUACACAAACGCCGGCGAGAAAUUCGGAUCCCUUCAAAACUAUGUCUGCAAUUGCAUUUAAAUGAAAUAACUGAAAUUAGUAUUCAAGGUAUAUAGAUUUUUAACAGCAAGUUGUAUAUUUUAAUUCUUUUUGAACAAAGAUUGACAUGUCAUUUUGAUAUCAUAGAUAACGCAGGUAUAAGACCGGUCGAAAUACAACUACUAUUAUUACUAUUAAUUAAUUAAUAAUAUCCUGUGUUGUUGUAAAUGUUAUUUUUUAAUGCAAUGAAGUUGGCUGAUUUACAGUUCAAAAAUAUGCUUUUUGUUCAUCAGGUCCACUCAUAUGUAUUGUCUGUGUAAAAACCAAAAAUAAAAAAAAAAAAGACUGUAAAUACUUCGCACGUGGGUGCAGCCACUGUUGUAGGUGGGAAGUUGGGAAGGUAGGAUACAGACGGAAAUUUAAUGUAUAUCUGUAAGCAACGAUAAACCAUUGCUAACGAGAAAGCAAUUCUGAGCGGAGUUCAUUUGAUCGUGUUGUUUUGUCAACAAUACAAUAUAUGGUAUUAUGUCAUUUUAUGGU